GACAGCGUCAAACGGAACUGAGAGAUGUAUUCAUCUGGCUGCUUUCCGCUGAGUCGGGGCAAAGCUGGAACGUUUUAAGGCCAGUCAAAGAUGUGGUCAUCAGGAGAGGUCUUGUGUGUGGGAGUAAUCUCUACUUCCUCUAGUCUUUCUUGUGUACCAGACAUUCCAUCUAUGUGAAGAAAGCUAUUGUCUGCACACCUGGCCAUCAAGCUAUGCUAUGCACACCUGGUCUUCAAGCUAUGAUCUGAACAUCUGGCUGUCACGCUACGAUCUGAACACACAGCCAUCGAGCUAUGCUCUGCACACCUGCUCCAUGAGUGACCCACCUGACUGUCUACACAGCUCUGGAGGUGAUCAUUCAAUUGUCUUCAUAGCUCCAGAAGUGACCUACCCAACUGUCUACGCAGCUCCGAGGUGACCAUGCUACUGUCCACCACCCACACAUUCCCAGAAAUGGCCUUCUGAUAGCAUGGCUGCAUAAGUGAACAUCUAACAGUCACCUUUCAGAGGUGACACGCCCAACUGCAUCUUUAUAGGUGCUCGUCCAUUCAGCUUCCUGUCUUUUCCAAUAUGGGUUCUCCACACUUCAUCAUUGUUUUAUCUGAAAGGGAUUUUUACAAUCAUGGAAGCCACUCAAAAA
ensembl:lincRNA Gm37068 predicted gene, 37068